UACGAAGGGGGCUAGCGUUGCUCGGAAUCUCUGGGCGUAAAGGGUGCGUAGGCGGGUCUUUAAGUCAGGGGUGAAAUCCUGGAGCUCAACUCCAGAACUGCCUUUGAUACUGAGGAUCUUGAGUUCGGGAGAGGUGAGUGGAACUGCGAGUGUAGAGGUGAAAUUCGUAGAUAUUCGCAAGAACACCAGUGGCGAAGGCGACUCACUGGACACGUAUUGACGCUGAGGUGCGAAAGCGUGGGGAGCAAACAGG
rnacentral:rRNA from 1 species